GACGAACGCUGGCGGCGUGCCUAAUACAUGCAAGUAGAACGAGUUGCGAACGGAUGAGUAAUGUCUGGGGAACUGCCUGAUUGAGGGGGAUAACUACUGGAGACGGUAGCUAAUACCACAUAUCAUCGGCUGUUCCCAGAUUGGAUUAGCUAGUGGGUGGGGUAAUGGCUCACCGAGGCGACGAUCCCUAGCUGGUCUGAGAGGAUGACCAGCCACACUGGAACUGAGACACGGUCCAGACUCCUACGGGAGGCAGCAGUGGGGAAUAUUGCACAAUGGGCGCAAGCCUGAUCCAGCCAUGCCGCGUGUGUGAAGAAGGCCUUCGGGUUGUAAAGCACUUUCAGCGGGGAGGCGUUACCCGCAGAAGAAGCACCGGCUAACUCCGUGCCAGCAGCCGCGGUAAUUC
rnacentral:rRNA from 1 species